CGGUAAUUCCAGCUCCAAUAGCGUAUACUAAAGUUGUUGCAGUUAAAAAGCUCGUAGUUGGAUUUCUGCGGGGACGGAGCGGCCGGACGCAACUUGCGUCUCGAGCUAGCGCUUUCCCCGCAUCCUGCCGCGAACCGUGCUACCAUUAGUUUGGUGGCGCUGGGGAUCGGCUCGAUUACUUUGAGAAAAAUAGAGUGUUCAAAGCAGGCCACACGCCUUGAAUAAGUUAGCAUGGAAUAAUGACUAAGGACUUUGGUUCUUUUCGUUGGUGUUCGGGACUGAAGUAAUGAUUGAUAGGGACAGUUGGGGCGGUCCGUAUUCCAAAGCGAGAGGUGAAAUUCUUAGACCUUCGGAAGACGAACAGCUGCGAAAGCGUUCCGUAAGGAUGUUCCCUUUAAUCAAGAACGAAAGUUGGGGGAUCGAAGACGAUCAGAUACCGUCGUAGUCUCAACUAUAAACUAUACCAGCUAGGGAUCGGCCAACGUUUAAUUAUUCGACUUGGUCGGCACCUUAUGAGAAAUCAAAGCAUCUGGGUUCCGGGGGGAGUAUGGUCGCAAGGCUGAAACUUAAAGGAAUUGACGGAAGGGCACCACCAGGCGUGGAGCCUGUGGCUUAAUUUGACUCAACACGGGAAAACUUACCAGGUCCAGACAUAGGAAGGAUUGACAGAUUGAUAGCUCUUUCUUGAUUCUGUGGGUGGUGGUGCAUGGCCGUUUUUAGUCGGUGAAGUGAUUUGUCUGCUUAAUUGCGUUAACGGACGAGACCCCAGCCUGCUAAAUAGCGCGGUCGAGCUUUGCUCGGCACGAGCUUCUUAGAGGGACCAUGAUGCGCGAUAGCACAAGGAAGUUUGAGGCAACAACAGGUCUGUGAUGCCCUUAGAUGUUCUGGGCCGCACACGGGCUACACUGGCGCCUGCAACGAGCAUAUCAGCUGGCCCGAGAGGGUCUUGGCUAAUCUUUGGAACCGGCGCCGUGCUUGGGAUUGACCAUUGCAAUUGUUGGUCAUGCAACGAGGAAUGCCUUGUAAACGCGAGUCAUCAGCUCGCAUUGAAUACGUCCCUGCCCCUUGUACACACCGCCC
rnacentral:rRNA from 1 species